rnacentral:rRNA from 1 species
AGUAACACGUGGGGAACCUGCCCCUAAGUCUGGGAUACCAUUUGGAAACAGGUGCUAAUACCGGAUAAUAAAGCAGAUCGCAUGAUCAGCUUUUGAAAGGCGGCGUAAGCUGUCGCUAAGGGAUGGCCCCGCGGUGCAUUAGCUAGUUGGUAAGGUAACGGCUUACCAAGGCGACGAUGCAUAGCCGAGUUGAGAGACUGAUCGGCCACAUUGGGACUGAGACACGGCCCAAACUCCUACGGGAGGCAGCAGUA